rnacentral:rRNA from 1 species
CGGGAGGCUGCACCAGUGAGGAAUAUUGCACAAUGGGGGGAACCCUGAUGCAGCAACGCCGCGUGGAGGAUGACGCAUUUCGGUGUGUAAACUCCUUUUAUAUGUCAAGAAAAUGACGGUAGCAUAUGAAUAAGCACCGGCUAACUCCGUGCCAGCAGCCGCGGUAAUACGGAGGGUGCAAGCGUUACUCGGAAUCCCUGGGCGUAAAGGACGCGUAGGCGGGUUGGAAAGUCAGGUGUGAAAUCCUACAGCUUAACUGUAGAACUGCACUUGAAACUUCUAAUCCAGAGUAUGGGAGGGGGAGAUGGAAUUAGUGGUGUAGGGGUAAAAUCCGUAGAUAUCACUAGGAAUACCUAAAGCGAAGGCGAUCUCCUGGAACAUUACUGACGCUAAGGCGUGAAAGCGUGGGGAGCAAACAGGAUUAGAUACCCCUGUAGUC